UGUCGGGUCGUCCAAUGGUAGGACAGCGGCCUUUGAAGCCGUUAAUCUUGGUUCGAAUCCAAGCCCGACAGCAA
rnacentral:tRNA from 1 species